rnacentral:rRNA from 1 species
GACGAACGCUGGCGGCGUGCUUAACACAUGCAAGUCGAACGGGAUCCAAAUGCUUUUUGUUUUUGGUGAGUGUGGCGAACGGGUGAGUAACACGUGAGUAACCUGCCCCCUUCUUUUGGAUAACCGCAGGAAAGUGUGGCUAAUACAGGCUAUUCCAGGCUGGUCGCAUGAUUGGUUUGGGAUAUGGUUUGGUCUGGUGGGGGGUGGGCUCGCGGGCUAUCAGCUGGUUGGUGGGGUGAUGGCCUACCAAGGCGGUGACGGGUAGCCGGCCUGGGAGGGUGAGCGGUCACACUAGGACUGGGAUACGGCCCAGAGUGCUGCGGGAGGCAGCAGUGGGGGAUAUUGCGCAAUGGGCGGAAGCCUGAUGCCGCGACGCCGCGUGAGGGAUGAAGGCCUUCGGGUUGUAAACCUCUUUCGCUGGGUUGAAAGGCCAUGCUUUGGGUGUGGUUGAUUUGACCUGGUAAAGAAGUACCGGCUAACUACGUG